rnacentral:rRNA from 1 species
GAUGAACGCUGGCGGCGUGCCUAAUACAUGCAAGUCGAGCGAACAGACGAGGAGCUUGCUCCUCUGACGUUAGCGGCGGACGGGUGAGUAACACGUGGAUAACCUACCUAUAAGACUGGGAUAACUUCGGGAAACCGGAGCUAAUACCGGAUAAUAUAUUGAACCGCAUGGUUCAAUAGUGAAAGACGGUUUUGCUGUCACUUAUAGAUGGAUCCGCGCCGCAUUAGCUAGUUGGUAAGGUAACGGCUUACCAAGGCAACGAUGCGUAGUCGACCUGAGAGGGUGAUCGGCCACACUGGAACUGAGACACGGUCCAGACUCCUACGGGAGGCAGCAGUAGGGAAUCUUCCGCAAUGGGCGAAAGCCUGACGGAGCAACGCCUCGUGAGUGAUGAAGGUCUUCGGAUCGUAAAACUCUGUUAUUAGGGAAGAACAAAUGUGUAAGUAACUAUGCACGUCUUGACGGUACCUAAUCAGAAAGCCACGGCUAACUACGUG